rnacentral:rRNA from 1 species
CGCCAGCCUGACGGAGCAACGCCGCGUGCGGGAGGAAGGCCUUAGGGUUGUAAACCCCUUUUCUCAGGGAAGAAACCUGACGGUCCCUGAGGAAAAAGCCUCGGCUAACUCCGUGCCAGCAGCCGCGGUAAUACGGAGGAGGCAAGCGUUAUUCGGAAUUAUUGGGCGUAAAGCGUCCGCAGGGGGCUCAUCAAGUCUGCUGUCAAAGGUCGGAGCUCAACUCCGGUUCGGCAGUGGAAACUGGUGGGCUAGAGGGCGACAGGGGUAGAGGGAAUUCCCAGUGUAGCGGUGAAAUGCGUAGAGAUUGGGAAGAACACCGGUGGCGAAAGCGCUCUACUGGGUCGCACCUGACCCUCAGGGACGAAAGCUAAGGUAGCG